AGCGAACGCUGGCGGCAGGCCUAACACAUGCAAGUCGAACGAAGUCUUCGGACUUAGUGGCGGACGGGUGAGUAACACGUGGGAACGUGCCUUUAGGUUCGGAAUAACUCAGGGAAACUUGUGCUAAUACCGAAUGUGCCCUUCGGGGGAAAGAUUUAUCGCCUUUAGAGCGGCCCGCGUCUGAUUAGCUAGUUGGUGGGGUAAAGGCUCACCAAGGCGACGAUCAGUAGCUGGUCUGAGAGGAUGAUCAGCCACAUUGGGACGGAGACACGGCCCAAACUCCUACGGGAGGCAGCAGUGGGGAAUUUUGCGCAAUGGGCGAAAGCCUGACGCAGCCAUGCCGCGUGAAUGAUGAAGGUCUUAGGAUUGUAAAAUUCUUUCACCGGGGACGAUAAUGACGGUACCCGGAGAAGAAGCCCCGGCUAACUUCGUGCCAGCAGCCGCAGUAA
rnacentral:rRNA from 1 species